GAUGAACGCUGGCGGCGUGCCUAAUACAUGCAAGUCGAGCGAACAGACGAGGAGCUUGCUCCUCUGACGUUAGCGGCGGACGGGUGAGUAACACGUGGAUAACCUACCUAUAAGACUGGGAUAACUUCGGGAAACCGGAGCUAAUACCGGAUAAUAUAUUGAACCGCAUGGUUCAAUCGUGAAAGACGGUUUUGCUGUCACUUAUAGAUGGAUCCGCGCCGCAUUAGCUAGUUGGUAAGGUAACGGCUUACCAAGGCAACGAUGCGUAGCCGACCUGAGAGGGUGAUCGGCCACAUUGGAACUGAGACACGGUCCAGACUCCUACGGGAGGCAGCAGUAGGGAAUCUUCCGCAAUGGGCGAAAGCCUGACGGAGCAACGCCGCGUGAGUGAUGAAGGUCUUCGGAUCGUAAAACUCUGUUAUUAGGGAAGAACAAAUGUGUAAGUAACGAUGCACGUCUUGACGGUACCCAAUCAGAAAGCCACGGCUAACUACGUG
rnacentral:rRNA from 1 species